UUCUAAGAUGGCAGAGAUUUUAUAAUGCAUAAAACUUAAGAUUUUAUUACAAGAUUCCCCCCUUUCUUAGAAA
rnacentral:tRNA from 1 species